GUCGGAAUCGYGCUGCUGUCUAAGGUGCUGAAGCUGGAGGGCUGCAAAGAGGUUCUGUGGAUCCCCCACCCUCCGGGAGCUUCCGUUCCCUCUUACACAGGAACUAAUGGCUGAUGCAAAUAUCAUAAGAACAAAUCUCCKAUAAAUGCCUUCAUGAAAUAAGUGGACCAUUUAAAAACCCUGUGCAGAUGUUGAAAGGUUUAUUGGACUCUGGUGGAAUUAAAAGACACAAUCC